CAACUUGAGAGUUUGAUCCUGGCUCAGAGCGAACGCUGGCGGCAGGCUUAAUACAUGCAAGUCGAGCGCCUGUAGCAAUACAGGAGCGGCAGACGGGAGAGUAACACGUGGGAACGUGCCCUUUGGUUCGGAACAACACAGGGAAACUUGUGCUAAUACCGGAUAAGCCCUUACGGGGAAAGAUUUAUCGCCAAAGGAUCGGCCCGCGUCUGAUUAGCUAGUUGGUGGGGUAAUGGCCCACCAAGGCGACGAUCAGUAGCUGGUCUGAGAGGAUGAUCAGCCUCAUUGGGACUGAGACACGGCCCAAACUCCUACGGGAGGCAGCAGUAGGGAAUAUUGGACAAUGGGGGCAACCCUGAUCCAGCCAUGCCGCGUGAGUGAUGAAGGCCUUAGGGUUGUAAAGCUCUUUCGGCGGGGAAGAUAAUGACGGUACCCGCAUAAGAAGCCCCGGCUAACUUCGUGCCAGCAGCCGCGGUAAUACGAAGGGGGCUAGCGUUGCUCGGAAUCACUGGGCGUAAAGCGCACGUAGGC
rnacentral:rRNA from 1 species